GCCGAUGUCGGAUUAGGUAGUUGGUGGGGUAACGGCCUACCAAGCCUUCGAUCCGUAGCUGGUCUGAGAGGAUGAUCAGCCACACUGGGACUGAGAUACGGCCCAGACUCCUACGGGAGGCAGCAGUGGGGAAUAUUGGACAAUGGGGGCAACCCUGAUCCAGCAAUGCCGCGUGGAUGAUGAAGGCCUUCGGGUUGUAAAGUCCUUUCGGCGGGGAAGAUGAUGACGGUACCCGCAGAAGAAGCCCCGGCUAACUUCGUGCCAGCAGCCGCGGUAAUACGAAGGGGGCUAGCGUUGUUCGGAAUUACUGGGCGUAAAGGGCGCGUAGGCUGUGCUGUAAGUCAGGCGUGAAAGCCCCGGGCUCAACCUGGGAAUUGCGCUUGAUACUGCGGCGCUGGAAGGUGGGAGAGGAUGGCGGAAUUCCCAGUGUAGAGGUGAAAUUCGUAGAUAUUGGGAAGAACACCGGUGGCGAAGGCGGCCAUCUGGCCCACAUUUGACGCUGAGGCGCGAAAGCGUGGGGAGCAAACAGGAUUAGAUACCCUGGUAGUCCACGCUGUAAACGAUGAGUGCUAGACGUCGGGGAGCUUGCUCUUCGGUGUCGCCGCUAACGCAUUAAGCACCCCGCCUGGGGAGUACGGUCGCAAGAUUAAA
rnacentral:rRNA from 1 species